rnacentral:misc_RNA from 1 species
AAGUCGUAACAAGGUUUUUGCUAAGCAACAGUCCUUCUGUAGCAGAGCUUAACGGAGACCUUGCACCCGAGAGGGGGGGAGGCGACUAUAAAUAAACUUCCAGCGCAAGUCAGCACUGUCUGGCAACACAAUCGAAUUGCGGGGAUGCUUUAAAGCUUACCGGUACCAACCACUCUUGACAGGGUGGGGCGAGCAUGCUCGAGGUCACAAUCUGGUAGGAUGCAACAAUAAGCAAUCCGCAGCGGCACCCGCCGUCCACAGACUAAGUGGUUGUGGGUAGGAGAACCCCUAUCUAAGAUAUAGUCGGGCCUGAAGAGAGAUCCUCAGGGCUUCUGCGUCCGUAGGUGAACCUGCGGAAGGAUCAUUAAAAAGAUCAACCCGGUUUGAAAUCAAUGCCUUCACAGGCCUUGUGGGGCUGUUUUAAACUCACAGCAAAUCCAGUUGAUAAGUCAUGCCUGUUUACAGGCCUUGUGGGGCUGUCUUAAACUCACAGCAAUGCCAGUGACACAAACUCAUACCGGGGGCCUGAGCCCCCGGGCCGGUUGAAUCCCACCCGUGUCUCACAUACCUCUUGUUGCUUGGCAGGCCGUGGUCUCCACUGUGGGCUUUGCCUGCAUGUGCCUGCCAGAGGACCAAACUCUGAAUUUAGUGAUGUCUGAGUACUAUAUAAUAGUUAAAA